rnacentral:rRNA from 1 species
UACGGAGGAUCCGAGCGUUAUCCGGAUUUAUUGGGUUUAAAGGGAGCGUAGAUGGAUUGUUAAGUCAGUUGUGAAAGUUUGCGGCUCAACCGUAAAAUUGCAGUUGAAACUGGCAGUCUUGAGUACAGUAGAGGUGGGCGGAAUUCGUGGUGUAGCGGUGAAAUGCUUAGAUAUCACGAAGAACUCCGAUUGCGAAGGCAGCUCACUGGACUGCAACUGACACUGAGGCUCGAAAGUGUGGGUAUCAAACAGG